rnacentral:lncRNA from 1 species
CGAGUGACACCCCACGUGGGCGGCGGCAAGCGCCGGUGGCGGCUGGAGAGGCGGGGUGAAAGAGAAGCUAUGCAGAAAUCAGAGUGCUCUGGAGGUGUGCAAUUGAGAAACAGAGCAACAGGUAGUAAUGAUCGCACAUCCUCAAGCACACAGGUGAAACACAGGACUGCAGUUCAGCGCAGCAAAUCCUCCUCCUUAACCAGUUCUCCAGAGGCUGCCAGACGGGCUCAUCCUCGGCCAAGCGAUAAACUCAACCCUAAAACCAUUAACCCUUUUGGUGAACAGCCACGGGCCCCUUCUGCAUUUGCAGCUAUUUACUCUCAAGGAGGCAUUCCUUGCAGGGUCUGAGGGAGACCAAGCAUCCUUAUACCUUUGUGUCAAAGGAAGGCUUUAGGGAGUUACUUCUGGUCAAGGAUGCUCCUGAAAAAGCUAUCCCUUUGCUACCUCGACUGAUCCCUGUGUUGAAGGCAGCUCUAGUUCACUCUGCUGAUGAAGUGUUUGAAAGAGGACUGAGCGCUCUCGUGCAACUGAGUGCGGUUGUUGGCCCGUCUCUGAAUGGCCAUCUGAAACUACUGCUUACAAGUCUUUCGAAGAGGCUAAUGGACAAAAAAUUCAAAGAGCCCAUCACCAGUGCUUUACAAAAGCUGGAGCAGCACGGCGGAAGUGCAAGUCUUAUCAUCAUCAAAUCCAAAAUCCCAACAUACUGCUCUAUCUGCUCUUGAGCAAGGGAGGCAACAAAAGCCAUGCUGCUUCCUUAGGCGCUGCCUGUGGUCACCUGGGCUGUCUGUCAGUCCAGUUCAUUCUGACUCACAGCACCAUUCAUUCAUGAACUCUGCUGCAAGAACCAAUGUCAAAUUCAGAAGAAUCAUCAUACAAGAAGUUGUCAACAGAAAACUAAUUAAAGUAAUGUGCAU